GCACUCACUUUGGCAGCACACAUACUAAAAUUGGAACCAUACAGAAAAGAUUAGCAUGGCCCCUGUGCACGCAAAUCUGUGAAGCAUUCCAUUUUUUU
ensembl:snRNA U6 U6 spliceosomal RNA